rnacentral:rRNA from 1 species
UACGGAGGAUGCGAGCGUUAUCCGGAAUUAUUGGGCGUAAAGGGUGCGCAGGCGGCAAGAAAAGCUUAAGGUCAAAGCCCGGGGCUCAACCCCGGCCCGCCGUUGAAACUGGCAGUCUCGAGUUGGAGAGAAGUAUGCGGAAUGCGCGGUGUAGCGGUGAAAUGCAUAGAUAUCGCGCAGAACUCCGAUUGCGAAGGCAGCAUGCCGGCUCCACACUGACGCUGAGGCACGAAAGCGUGGGUAUCGAACAGG